AGGGUUUGAUUCUGGCUCAGGACGAACGCUGGCGGCAGGCCUAACACAUGCAAGUCGAACGAGAAGCCAUCCUUCGGGAUGGUGGGCAGUGGCGAACGGGUGAGUAACGCGUGGGAACCUGCCCUUCGGUACGGGACAACCGCGGGAAACUGCGGCUAAUACCGUAUAUUCCCUACGGGGGAAAGAUUUAUCGCCGAAGGAUGGGCCCGCGUCCGAUUAGCUUGUUGGUGAGGUAAAAGCUCACCAAGGCGACGAUCGGUAGCUGGUUUGAGAGGAUGAUCAGCCACACUGGGACUGAGAUACGGCCCAGACUCCUACGGGAGGCAGCAGUGGGGAAUAUUGGACAAUGGGGGCAACCCUGAUCCAGCCAUGUCGCGUGAGUGAAGAAGGCCCUAGGGUUGUAAAGCUCUUUCAGCGAGGAAGAUAAUGACGGUACUCGCAAAAGAAGCCCCGGCUAACUCCGUGCCAGCAGCCGCGGUAAUACGGAGGGGGCUAGCGUUGUUCGGAAUUACUGGGCGUAAAGCGUGCGUAGGCGGUUUGCUAAGUUGGGCGUGAAAGCCCGGGGCUCAACCCCGGAAUUGCGUUCAAAACUGGCAGACUAGAGGCCGGAAGAGGAGAGCGGAAUUCCCAGUGUAGAGGUGGAAUUCGUAGAUAUCAGGAAGAACACCGGUGGCGAAGUCGGCUUUCUGGACCGAUACUGACGCUGAGGCGCGAAAGCGUGGGGAGCGAACAGGAUUAGAUACCCUGGUAGUCCACGCCGUAAACGAUGAGUGCUAGACGUCGGGGGGCUUGCCCUUCGGUGUCGCAGCUAACGCAUUAAGCACUCCGCCUGGGGACUACGGCCGCAAGGCUAAAACUCAAAGGAAUUGACGGGGGCCCGCACAAGCGGUGGAGCAUGUGGUUUAAUUCGACGCAACGCGAAGAACCUUACCAGCCCUUGACACGCUAGGUCGCGGAAUCCAGAGAUGGAUUUCUUCAGUUCGGCUGGACCUAGUGCAGUUGCUGCAUGGCUGUCGUCAGCUCGUGUCGUGAGAUGUUGGGUUAAGUCCCGCAACGAGCGCAACCCUCGUCCUUAGUUGCCAGCGGUUAGGCCGGGCACUCUAAGGAAACUGCCGGUGAUAAGCUGGAGGAAGGUGGGGAUGACGUCAAGUCCUCAUGGCCCUUACGGGCUGGGCUACACACGUGCUACAAUGGCGGUGACAGUGGGAUGCUAUGGGGCGACCCGGAGCUAAUCCCCAAAAACCGUCUCAGUUCGGAUUGUUCUCUGCAACUCGAGAGCAUGAAGUUGGAAUCGCUAGUAAUCGUGGAUCAGCAUGCCACGGUGAAUACGUUCCCGGGCCUUGUACACACCGCCCGUCACACCAUGGGAGUUGGUUUUACCCGAAGACGGUGCGCUAACCGCAAGGAGGCAGCCGGCCACGGUAGGGUCAGCGACUGGGGUGAAGUCGUAACAAGGUAGCCA
rnacentral:rRNA from 1 species